rnacentral:rRNA from 1 species
CACGGGGGUUGCGAGCGUUGUCCGGAAUUACUAGGCGUAAAGGGCAGGCAGGCUGAUCCAUAAGUUUAUCGUUUAAGGCGUCGGCUUAACCGGUCGUAGGGCGGUAGAUACUGUGGAUCUGGAAUGCGGUUGGGGAAGACAGAAUUCCUGGUGUAGCGGUGGAAUGCGCAGAGAUCAGGAGGAAUACCGAAGGCGAAGGCAGUCUUCCAAGCCGUUAUUGACGCUCAACUGCGAAGGUGUGGGUAAUCAAACAGGAUUAGAUACCCUGGUAGUCCCUGA